UUUUGCUUUGUGUUUUGAGCCGUUUUUUUUUUUAUGAGCAGGGCUUGGCAUUUGAAUUUUGGAUGGUGACAAAAAGCUGGAGGACCCAAGUGCAGCAAUGCAAAUGAGUGUAGCAGUCUCAGAAAGGAGAUCUAUUUUACAGAAAACACAAACGAAGUACGUCUACUGCUGGGCACAUGUGGUACUGCAUCCUUUCCACUCAUUUCUUUGUGGAGGACCAUUUUACUACAACCUUUGGACUCACUGGUUUAGGCCCUACACACCCAGCACCUAUGUCAACUCCCCCAUUUUCAUAGCCCCUGAACACGCUGGAUGUGCUUCAGUGGCUGUAUAUGCUGUUUACCCAAAAUUGCUGUGAAAAAGCAAUUUCUUCCAACAAACAGUUGAAUGUUUCAUGAGCAAGAUGGUCAUGGGAGGAGAAAAGAAUCACGAGUAAAUCACAACACAACAAACUCAACUUACUUUAGCAAUUUAGCAUUUUGUUUGGAUUCAUCUACAGUUUCUGGUACUUGUAAGCAGUUUUAUAUUUAAAUCAUUGAGUGUAAUCCCAAUGAGUCGAGAUCCAUAUUUUAAAACCAUGGGUCUGUUGGAAAAAAAAUAAAAAUUAAAAUAUGGCUGUGACUCACCCAAGGCUAAAAAUAAAUAGAGGUAAUGUUUCUAUUUCUCUUUUCUUGGUGUAAAAGUUUGUCAAGCCCUGCUUAUGAACAAGCUUCAAUGCCGCUGCUGCUUGAGUGAACCAUAGUGUGCAAUAUAUUUUCAGCCAUUUAUUGGAUGAAAACAUUCGUUAGGAGCAUGAAGAAAAUGCCAACACAGACCUAAUCAUCAAACUGAUUACAUGAUUGAGUAAAUUGAUUUUUGAGCUUGUGCACGGAGCAAAUUUAAA